ensembl:snoRNA
CCUGGGUGAUGAUAAGCAAACACUGACUGAACAUGAAGGUCUUAAUUAGCUCUAACUGACU